rnacentral:rRNA from 1 species
GAUGAACGCUGGCGGCGUGCUUAACACAUGCAAGUCGAACGAUGAAGCCCAGCUUGCUGGGUGGAUUAGUGGCGAACGGGUGAGUAACACGUGAGUAACCUGCCCUUAACUCUGGGAUAAGCCUGGGAAACUGGGUCUAAUACCGGAAAGGAGCGCUUACCCCAUGGUGGGUGUUGGAAAGAUUUAUCGGUUUUGGAUGGACUCGCGGCCUAUCAGCUUGUUGGUGAGGUAAUGGCUCACCAAGGCGACGACGGGUAGCCGGCCUGAGAGGGUGACCGGCCACACUGGGACUGAGACACGGCCCAGACUCCUACGGGAGGCAGCAGUGGGGAAUAUUGCACAAUGGGCGAAAGCCUGAUGCAGCGACGCCGCGUGAGGGAUGACGGCCUUCGGGUUGUAAACCUCUUUCAGUAGGGAAGAAGCGAAAGUGACGGUACCUGCAGAAGAAGCACCGGCUAACUACGUG